rnacentral:rRNA from 1 species
GACGAACGCUGGCGGCGUGCUUAACACAUGCAAGUCGAACGGAAAGGCCCUGCUUGCUGGGUACUCGAGUGGCGAACGGGUGAGUAACACGUUUGUGAUCUGCCCUGCACUCCGGGAUAAGCCUUGGUACCUGGUUCUAAUACCGGAUAGAAGCCUUUUUUAGUGUGAUUGUUGGAAAGUUUUUUCGGUGUAGUAUGAGCUCGCGUCCGAUCCGCUAGUGGGUAGGGUAAUGGCCUACCAAGGCGGCGACGCAUAGCUGGCCUGAGAGGAUGGGCAGCCACACUGGGACUGAGACACGGCCCAGACUCCUACGGGAGGCAGCAGUGGGGAAUAUUGGACAAUGGGCGAAAGCCUGAUCCAGCAAUGCCGCGUGAGUGAUGAAGGCCUUAGGGUUGUAAAGCUCUUUUACCCGGGAUGAUAAUGACAGUACCGGGAGAAUAAGCUCCGGCUAACUCCGUG